AGUGGUUUAGAGCUUGGCUGCUAACCAAAAGGCCGGCAGUUCAAUUCUACCAGCCACUC
rnacentral:tRNA from 1 species